CCGUCACAGAAAUAAUGUCCCAAUGCAGAUGCGUGUUGGUCAUAUAAAGCAGGCGAUUGACACUAUUUCAGAUUCUGGAAAGAUAUCUGCUAUGUGAAUACACAGAUGAGGCAGAAUCACGGCGAGUCAGACUAUCUGUGGUGGUCAAGGGUAAAAUCUUCUGGCUAAACACUCCAUGUUUAUCACCCAACUCCUCAGCAGAAUUGGCAAUAGGUGUCAGCCAAGGUUUCAGUAACACAGUUGGUACAAAACUGGAUUUUCUCAAUGUACCAGAAAGUUAAGUGAAUAACAUUUAUGAAUAGUGGUUACCAAUGCAAAGUGCAGAUAUUAUAAACCUGGAAUAUACUUGUCUGUGUUUGUAGGUUCUUCUAUAUAGAAUUGUAAAACUGUACAACUCCAUACUCCUAUACAGAAGACAACUUAAGUUCAAUACUCAACCAGAGUUCACUCAUAAAUGAAGGGGAGCUCCAGGGCAUCAUGCUGUGAUCUCCCCUGUCUGCAGGAGUGAGGACUACGUCUAACAGUUUACAGCACCUGCAUUUGAUGGGAGGCAAACCUGCCACCUGAGUUUCUUCACAAGACUGGAUAUUCCACAGAACAUAAUAGAAAAUAGGAAUCCUGCCUUGCAGGCUCCUAGCUCAAAUCAAACAGCAAAAAUGAUCUUUUGGUUUUCCAUGUGGAAGAACACCGUGUGUGGCUAUGUCUUUCUAUCUGAGAGUGAAGGGAAAAUCUAUUUCAUUUGAUGUUGAACUUGGUUUCUUCCAUGAGCCCUGGGCAAAAUUGGAAGCAUUCAGGAUGUCCUUCACAAAGCAACAGCUGGGCUGCACUCCGUAGCAGCUGUCAAUAUAAAUGUUUGCCAUUAAUUGGUUUCAGAGGUGCUCCAGAAACUGCAUUUCAAGCUGGAUAAUAGGAUAAUGGUGCAAUGCAAAGAGAUAAUAUUAUGAUUAUUUAUUCUCAUGCACCAUUGAUGGUUAUAAGAAAUAGAAGACUUGGGCUACAUCUUAAUCCAUUUGGUGUCGCUGUAACAAAAUUCCUGAGGCUGGGUGUUUUGUAUAGAAGAAAAGUUUAUUAGCUUGCCAUUUUGAAGGUUGAAGGGCAUGGUGUUGACACCCAUGGGGCUCUGCUGAGGCCUAUAAGACAAUAUGGUAGAAACAGGUACAGGAAGGGGAAUACAUACAGUGAGAUGGGAAACAUGGUACUUAGAGAGCAGUUUCACCUCUUUCAAACAACUGUUCUUAAGGGAGCUAACCAGGGUCGUCGUCCAAGAAUUAUGAAAGUCCCUUCCCAGGGUGGUGCCUCCAGUGACCACUCUCCACUGGGCCCCGCCUCUUGAAGACAACUCUCAGCAUUGCCUGAGGGCUCAGCUUCCUUAGGGAAACCUUCUCGGGGACACAGAAAACCACAUCCAAACCAUCCCAGGCUCCAAUUCCCAGGUCUAGGAAUUGGUGGGUCAUGGCUUGAAGUUUAGAAUAACAAUGUAUCAUUGUGGCCUGAAGUCUCAGAUGCUCCAGUUCCAGUUUAACAAGGUCAUUCAUCCAUUUGUCAGGUCCAUUUUCUGCCAGGCAACUUAGAAACAAUCCAUCUCAAAUUUUUUUUGAAGAGAAGAGUAUCUGGUGUCCCCUGUUGUUCCCCUGGUCCAUGUCUAGUUCAGUUGGGAGACCUCUCUGUGCUAGUUCCACUGUACAAACAAAGGGGACUGAGACAGUCCCCACAGCCCUGGCCAUCACAGUGGGGGUAUAGAAGGCUUGGGGUCGCUGUCCACCUGCAUGAGUGUACGAAGAGGAAGGGCACAGUGAACUGUGGUGCCACCGACUGAGAGCAGGCAGUUAUUUUCAAUGGACAGAAGCAGGAGCCAGAAAUAAUGGCAUGAGUGAAGGUGACAGGUCACAGGAGUGCUGCGCAUCCAUGUGACAGGAACCAGACCCAGCACAAAGAUGAAUGCAGAAAGACAGAAGAAGAGGGACACUCUUUGUUGUUGAGAAGUGCGGGAGGGGACCAGGUUCUCUAAACUGUUUUUGGGUGGUGGGAUUUUCAUCUUUGUCUCUAUUUUAUUCUGAAAUCUCAGGUAAACACUUCCUAAGUAAAACAAGAUGAUACCUGCAGCUCCAAACUAUUCAUGUACCAGUUGAGAAAAUGAAAAAAAAAAAAAAGAAGAAGAAAAAUGAGCAACUUCCUCUGAAUCCUGCAGCAGAGCCUGGGGGACAUCUCACUGACUGACACACUUGCCCUUUCAAUGUGCCCCAGGAGGCGUGGUGCACGGAUUGGUCAGGCCUGCCUCCUCCAUUAAAGUCAGUCCCAAAUGAACCCAGGGAGCGAGUGAGGUUCAGGAGAUGGAGAGAGGAGAAAAUGAAUCCUCAGGAGAAACCAUGUGCCAAUAUCAGAAGGGGCGUUGACCGUGGGAAGAAAAUAUAGAAACUCAAAACUAAAGAAAAACAAAUCACCAUGUUUACCCCAAGCAGGGAGUCCUGGAGAGGUUCUGAUGCUGUCUUGUGUUUAUAUGCAGUGGAGAUUUACGACAUGGAAGGCACUGAGCCUGGUUGAAAUUUGCAGAUAUGCAAAUCCCUGGGGGGAAGCAGCAGAAGAAACAGGGGCAGAUGAAUAGCUUUGUUUGUGGUGUGUGUGUGUGUGUGGGGGGGGUGUGUGUAUUUUUUCAUUUUUCUUUUCUUUGUUUUCUCUGCAAUGAAAAUAAAAUGCUGAAAAUUUUACUUUAAAAUGUUGAAAGAGUGAUGCCCCUUGGAGGAGAGCACCAGCUGAGCUUGGAACACGGGUUUUGUUGCUGCCUCAGUGUUCACAGCGCUGUGGGUACAGGAGAGGUCCAGAGAGGUGCUGAGGUGUUAUUCAAAUUACAGUUCAGUGACUUAGAAAAAAUACUUACAAGUCCUCCACACAUUUGUAAAUGCCAAGGUGCCCAGUGUGGGUGGCAUGCCAAUUUCCUUGUCAAGGUUUUUCUCAAGAUUUGAAAUAUCUCACCUAGUUUUUAUUUAAUAAACCUGAGAAAAGCAAAAUGCAAAAUUA